rnacentral:rRNA from 1 species
GACGAACGCUGGCGGCGUGCUUAACACAUGCAAGUCGAACGAAGUGGCGAACGGGUGAGUAACGCGUAAUCAACCUGCCCUUCAGAGGGGGACAACAGUUGGAAACGACUGCUAACACCGCAUACUGAAGGAGGGGAUUGCGUUUGAUUAGCUAGUUGGGGGGGUAACGGCCCACCAAGGCGAUGAUCAGUAGCCGGUCUGGAAGGGAGAACGGACACAUUGGGACUGAGACACGGCCCAGACGCCUACAGGGAGCAGCAGUGGGGAAACUUCCGCAAUGGACGAAAUGCUGACGGAGCAACGGCGCGGGAGUGGUGACGGCCGUCGGGUUGUAAAGCUCUGUUAAUCGGGACGCGGUACCGGAAUAGAAAGCCACGGCUAACUACGUGCCAGCAGCCGCGGUAAUUC